GGAAGCGCUCGGGGGCUGGUGCCUCCCGCGGUCUUCAAAACCGUUGUUCGGUGAGUGAAUGCUCGGCGAGGGUGGGUUCGAUUCCCAUGCGUUUCCGCCA
rnacentral:tRNA from 1 species